GAUGAACGCUGGCGGCGUGCCUAAUACAUGCAAGUAGAACGCUGAAGCUCGGUGCUUGCACCGAGCGGAGGAGUUGCGAACGGGUGAGUAACGCGUAGGUAACCUGCCUCUUAGCGGGGGAUAACUAUUGGAAACGAUAGCUAAUACCGCAUAAAAGUCGACAUUGCAUGAUGUUGACUUGAAAGGUGCAAAUGCAUCACUAAGAGAUGGACCUGCGUUGUAUUAGCUAGUUGGUGAGGUAACGGCUCACCAAGGCGACGAUACAUAGCCGACCUGAGAGGGUGAUCGGCCACACUGGGACUGAGACACGGCCCAGACUCCUACGGGAGGCAGCAGUAGGGAAUCUUCGGCAAUGGACGGAAGUCUGACCGAGCAACGCCGCGUGAGUGAAGAAGGUUUUCGGAUCGUAAAGCUCUGUUGUAAGAGAAGAACGAGUGUGAGAGUGGAAAGUUCACACUGUGACGGUAACUUACCAGAAAGGGACGGCUAACUACGUGCCAGCAGCCGCGGUAAUACGUAGGUCCCGAGCGUUAUCCGGAUUUAUUGGGCGUAAAGCGAGCGCAGGCGGUUAGAUAAGUCUGAAGUUAAAGGCUGUGGCUUAACCAUAGUACGCUUUGGAAACUGUUUAACUUGAGUGCAGAAGGGGAGAGUGGAAUUCCAUGUGUAGCGGUGAAAUGCGUAGAUAUAUGGAGGAACACCGGUGGCGAAAGCGGCUCUCUGGUCUGUAACUGACGCUGAGGCUCGAAAGCGUGGGGAGCAAACAGG
rnacentral:rRNA from 1 species